GAGCAUGAGGAAGGUUUGGCCAAGAAAUAAAGCUAUGGUUUCUAAAAUGGCUAAUAGGAUGGCCUGACCUAUAUCAUAUUGUUUUCACGAAAUCGGCACCAUUACAGGUGUUGGGACAUUGAAACAAUUACACCAAUAUGUAUGAUAUAUUAGUCAUAACAAUAGAUACCAUACUCAAUGUUUCGAUGUUACAUCAUUAAUUUUGGCAUGUAUCAUCAGUACAAGUGCUGCUACCCUCUGUUUUCAUGAAAGAAAACAGGAUUAAUAUCUAGAACUUUGAAUCCUAUCAACCUCCAACAUAUUUCAUAUACUCGAGAAUUUUUCUUUGCUAUGCGGCAACUGGAUUAAAGAUGCGAAUAUGUUCGAUAGAUUGAGGGUGGCUGAAUGAUUAGUUUCACAAAAGAUGAGCCUUGUUAACUAUUUCUGUAUAUAGGAGCUCCAUAGUAUUUUCCUGACCAAGUCCAUUGAUUUAUAUUGUCUUGUGCUGGUAAAGUCAAUGGAAUGCACCACUUUGAGCCAUGGCUAUCGCCUUUUUGUUAGCCUGACUUCUGUUGAAAUUUCUAGUGCAAAGAAUUUGGGCCUUUGAAAAAUAUCCAUCCAGAAUGACUGGUUUAAUCUCUUCUGAUUUCCUUGAGGAUUCGAUGGAAGAUUUUAGAUGCCGUGUUAAAAUAUCCCGACC
rnacentral:lncRNA from 1 species